UCGGGAAUUUUGCGCAAUGGGCGAAAGCCUGACGCAGCAACGCCGCGUGAGGGAUGAAGGCCUUCGGGUUGUAAACCUCUUUUCUCAGGGACGAUGAUGACGGUACCUGAGGAAGAAGCCACGGCUAACUACGUGCCAGCAGCCGCGGUAAUACGUAGGUGGCGAGCGUUGUCCGGAUUUACUGGGCGUAAAGAGCGCGCAGGCGGUCGUUCAAGUCGCGUGUGAAAGCCCCUGGCUCAACUGGGGAGGGUCACGCGAUACUGAUCGACUCGAAGGCAGGAGAGGGAAGUGGAAUUCCCGGUGUAGUGGUGAAAUGCGUAGAUAUCGGGAGGAACACCAGUGGCGAAGGCGACUUCCUGGCCUGUUCUUGACGCUGAGGCGCGAAAGCUAGGGGAGCAAACGGG
rnacentral:rRNA from 1 species